UAGGGAAUUUUCGUCAAUGGGCGCAAGCCUGAACGAGCAAUGCCGCGUGAGUGAGGAAGGCCUUCGGGUCGUAAAGCUCUGUUGCGAGGGAAAAAGGAACGGAAGAGGAAAUGAUUCCGUUUUGAUGGUACCUCGCCAGAAAGUCACGGCUAACUACGUGCCAGCAGCCGCGGUAAUACGUAGGAUGCAAGCGUUGUCCGGAUUUACUGGGUGUAAAGGGCGUGUAGGCGGAGAAGCAAGUUGGGAGUGAAAUCCAUGGGCUCAACCCAUGAACUGCUCUCAAAAUCUGUUUCCCUUGAGUAUCGGAGAGGCAAGCGGAAUUCCUAGUGUAGCGGUGAAAUGCGUAGAUAUUAGGAGGAACACCAGUGGCGAAGGCGGCUUGCUGGACGACAACUGACGCUGAGGCGCGAAAGCGUGGGGAGCAAACAGGGAUUAGAUACC
rnacentral:rRNA from 1 species